CCACGUCCCGACGCACAACCCCCCCGGCGCCGGGACUUCCCAGAGCCGGGCUCGGCGCCCUCCCCCCGGGCGCCGGGCCCGGCUCCCUU
rnacentral:ncRNA from 1 species